UUUAUUAGGGGUCAUCCAUAAUUGUCAACCAUUUUCCAAAGUGUACAAAACGUACACUCGGGGGGAGGGCGUUAAAAAAUCAACAUUUUUACCGUACGCUUUUUUUUUUUAUUUCCGAAAUUUAUUUCGUGUCCGUAGGCAUGGUAGGAAAGGUCGAUGUAUAAAAUUGAGAAUUGGCUUGGGUGUGUUUCUCUUCUUAUUUCUUCUUUAUUUUU
rnacentral:lncRNA from 1 species